rnacentral:rRNA from 1 species
GACGAACGCUGGCGGCGUGCCUAAUACAUGCAAGUAGAACGCUGAAGGAGGAGCUUGCUCUUCUGGAUGAGUUGCGAACGGGUGAGUAACGCGUAGGUAGCCUGCCUGGUAGCGGGGGAUAACUAUUGGAAACGAUAGCUAAUACCGCAUAACAGUAGAUGUUGCAUGACAUUUACUUAAAAGGUGCAAUUGCAUCACUACCAGAUGGACCUGCGUUGUAUUAGCUAGUUGGUGGGGUAACGGCUCACCAAGGCGACGAUACAUAGCCGACCUGAGAGGGUGAUCGGCCACACUGGGACUGAGACACGGCCCAGACUCCUACGGGAGGCAGCAGUAGGGAAUCUUCGGCAAUGGACGGAAGUCUGACCGAGCAACGCCGCGUGAGUGAAGAAGGUUUUCGGAUCGUAAAGCUCUGUUGUAAGAGAAGAACGAGUGUGAGAGUGGAAAGUUCACACUGUGACGGUAGCUUACCAGAAAGAGACGGCUAACUACGUG